rnacentral:rRNA from 1 species
CAAGUCGGACGGCAGCACAGAGAAGCUUGCUUCUUGGGUGGCGAGUGGCGAACGGGUGAGUAACAUAUCGGAACGUACCGAGCAGUGGGGGAUAACGUAAUCGAAAGAUUAAGCUAAUACCGCAUAUAUUCUGAGGAAGAAAGCAGGGGACCAUUUGGCCUUGCGCUGUUUGAGCGGCCGAUAUCUGAUUAGCUAGUUGGUGGGUAAAGGGCCUACCAAGGCGACGAUCAGUAGCGGGUCUGAGAGGAUGAUCCGCCACACUGGGACUGAGACACGGCCCAGACUCCUACGGGAGGCAGCAGUGGGGAAUUUUGGACAAUGGGCGCAAGCCUGAUCCAGCCAUGCCGCGUGUCUGAAGAAGGCCUUCGGGUUGUAAAGGACUUUUGUCAGGGAAGAAAAGGAUAGGGUUAAUACCCCUGUCUGAUGACGGUACCUGAAGAAUAAGCACCGGCUAACUACGUGCCAGCAGCCGCGGUAAUACGUAGGGUGCGAGCGUUAAUCGGAAUUACUGGGCGUAAAGCGG